CCAAUAGCGUAUAUUAGUGUUGUUGCGGUUAAAAAGCUCGUAGUUGAAUUUCGGGAUUGGGAUAUAUCGGUCGUGCCUUUAGGGGCAUGAAUCAGUGUGUGGCCAAUUCUCACCUUCUGGUGAAUUGGGAUGCUCUCGGGUGUUUCAAUGAACUAGGACUUUUACUUUGAAAAAAUUAGAGUGUUUAAAGCGGGCAUUUU
rnacentral:rRNA from 1 species